AGCAGCCGCGGUAAUUCCAGCUCCAAUAGCGUAUAUUAAAGUUGUUGCAGUUAAAAAGCUCGUAGUUGAAUUUCGGGAUCAAUAUUUCGGUCAUGCCGUUGGUAUGCACUGUUAUCAUUGAUUUCUCACCUUCUAAAGAACCGUGAUGCCAUUAAUUUGGUGUUACGGGGAAUUAGGACUGUUACCUUAGAAAAAAUUAGAGUGUUUAAAGCAGGCUCACGCUUGAAUACAUUAGCAUGGAAUAAUGAAAUAGGACAUCCGAUUCUAUUUUGUUGGUUCUAGGAUCGAUGUAAUGAUUAAUAGGGAUAGUUGGGGGCAUUAGUAUUCA
rnacentral:rRNA from 1 species